GACGAACGCUGGCGGCGUGCUUAACACAUGCAAGUCGAACGGAAAGGCCCUGCUUUUGUGGGGUGCUCGAGUGGCGAACGGGUGAGUAACACGUGAGUAACCUGCCCUUGACUUUGGGAUAACUUCAGGAAACUGGGGCUAAUACCGGAUAGGAGCUCCUGCUGCAUGGUGGGGGUUGGAAAGUUUCGGCGGUUGGGGAUGGACUCGCGGCUUAUCAGCUUGUUGGUGGGGUAGUGGCUUACCAAGGCUUUGACGGGUAGCCGGCCUGAGAGGGUGACCGGCCACAUUGGGACUGGGAUACGGCCCAGACUCCUAAGGGAGGCAACAGUGGGGAAUGUUGACCAAUGGGGCGAAGCCUUAUGCAGCAACGCCGCGUGCGGGAUGACGGCCUUCGGGUUGUAAACCGCUUUCGCCUGUGACGAAGCGUGAGUGACGGUAAUGGGUAAAGAAGCACCGGCUAACUACGUG
rnacentral:rRNA from 1 species